rnacentral:rRNA from 1 species
AGAGUUUGAUCCUGGCUCAGAACGAACGCUGGCGGCAUGCCUAACACAUGCAAGUCGAACGCGGGGCUUCGGCCCCGAGUGGCGCACGGGUGAGUAGCGCGUGGGAACCUGCCCUUCAGUGGGGGAUAACCGAGGGAAACUUCGGCUAAUACCGCAUGCGCCCGGAGCAAUCCGGGGAAAGAUUUAUCGCUGAAGGAGGGGCCCGCGUCGGAUUAGCUAGUUGGUAGGGUAACGGCCUACCAAGGCUUUGAUCCGUAGCUGGUCUGAGAGGAUGAUCAGCCACACUGGGACUGAGACACGGCCCAGACUCCUACGGGAGGCAGCAGUGGGGAAUAUUGGACAAUGGGCGAAAGCCUGAUCCAGCAAUGCCGCGUGAGUGAGGAAGGCCUUAGGGUUGUAAAGCUCUUUCGGCGGGGACGAUGAUGACGGUACCCGCAGAAGAAGCCCCGGCUAACUUCGUGCCAGCAGCCGCGGUAAUACGAAGGGGGCGAGCGUUGUUCGGAUUUACUGGGCGUAAAGGGCGCGCAGGCGGUCAUUUUUGUCGAGUGUGAAAGCCCCGGGCUUAACCUGGGAACUGCGCUCGAAACGGGAUGACUAGAGAUCGGGAGAGGAGAGUGGAAUUCCCAGUGUAGAGGUGAAAUUCGUAGAUAUUGGGAAGAACACCGGUGGCGAAGGCGGCUCUCUGGACCGAUACUGACGCUGAGGCGCGAAAGCGUGGGGAGCAAACAGGAUUAGAUACCCCGGUAGUCC